GUUACACAUUUAGAUCUAGAUAGAGAUGUAGAGAUAGCGAUAAAACCGCGGUCGAGUUACAGUAGUUUACCUCCUGAAAAGCUGAAGUGUUUCGUUUCAGUUCGAAACUGUUCCUUUUUCGGUUUUUAUGGUGGCAAUACAAAUCGUUAACAGUUUGGUCUUUCAAACUCCGCAACGUAAUGGGUCUCACCCUCGUCAAAUACGAACUUGGUGGGCUGUACCCAUGCUAAAUUCCAAUUGUACGCAAUCUUCGUGACACCAUAAUUCAAAACCUUGCAGCUGCUGGCGCUUGAAAUCGAAUGCUUUAUACAGAAACAAUGGAUGGAAAAUUGAUCUGCUGUCAAAAAACCGCAAGAAUUUUUAAAGAUAACGUGGUAACAAUGGGACUGAAUUUUUGCUUCGCUAUUAUUAUAUUUGUGAUGAUAAUAAGACACGUGGUAGAGAAUACUGAUUUAGAUAUGAAAAAAUAUAAAAUGUAUUAUUGUGUAUUAACCUAAAACUCAAUGUUUUUCAUCUGUAUUCUAAUUUUAUUUGUUCUGAAGACUGGCAGCUGUAAUUUAUUUUAUGUUAUAGUAGACUCGAUAUUUUGAUCAAUAAAUGUGAUAUGAAUUAUA